rnacentral:rRNA from 1 species
UGUCGUCAGCUCGUGUCGUGAGAUGUUGGGUUAAGUACCGUAACGAGCGCAACCUGUCCUUAGUUACCAGCACGUUAUGGUGGGCACUCUAAGGAGACUGCCGGUGACAACCGGAGGAAGGUGGGGAUGACGUCAAGUCAUCAUGGCCCUUACGGCCUGGGCUACACACGUGCUACAAUGGUCGGUACAAAGGGUUGCCAGGCCGCGAGGUGGAGCUAAUCCCAUAAAACCGAUCGUAGUCCGGAUCGCAGUCUGCAACUCGACUGCGUGAAGUCGGAAUCGCUAGUAAUCGUGAAUCAGAAUGUCACGGUGAAUACGUUCCCGGGCCUU